UACGGGAGGCAGCAGUGGGGAAUAUUGCACAAUGGGCGCAAGCCUGAUGCAGCCAUGCCGCGUGUAUGAAGAAGGCCUUCGGGUUGUAAAGUACUUUCAGCGGGGAGGAAGGCGAUGCGGUUAAUAACCGCGUCGAUUGACGUUACCCGCAGAAGAAGCACCGGCUAACUCCGUGCCAGCAGCCGCGGUAAUACGGAGGGUGCAAGCGUUAAUCGGAAUUACUGGGCGUAAAGCGCACGCAGGCGGUCUGUUAAGUCAGAUGUGAAAUCCCCGGGCUUAACCUGGGAACUGCAUUUUGAAACUGGCAGGCUUGAGUCUUGUAGAGGGGGUGAAAUUCCAGGUGUAGCGGUGAAAUGCGUAGAGAUCUGGAGGAAUACCGGUGGCGAAGGCGGGCCCCUGGGACAAAGACUGACGCUCAGGUGCGAAAGCGUGGGGAGCAAACGAGGAUUAGAUACC
rnacentral:rRNA from 1 species